CCGACGGAGAGUUUGAUCCUGGCUCAGGACGAACGCUGGCGGCGUGCCUCAAACAUGCAAGUCGAGGGAGGGUUGCUCGGGGGCUUGCCCCCGGGUUCAACUCUACCGGCGAACGGGUGAGUAACACGUGGGUAACCU
rnacentral:rRNA from 1 species